GAACGCUGGCGGCAGGCCUAACACAUGCAAGUCGAACGGUAACAGGAAGCAGCUUGCUGCUUCGCUGACGAGUGGCGGACGGGUGAGUAAUGUCUGGGAAGCUGCCUGAUGGAGGGGGAUAACUACUGGAAACGGUAGCUAAUACCGCAUAAUGUCGCAAGACCAAAGAGGGGGACCUUCGGGCCUCUUGCCAUCGGAUGUGCCCAGAUGGGAUUAGCUUGUUGGUGGGGUAACGGCUCACCAAGGCGACGAUCCCUAGCUGGUCUGAGAGGAUGACCAGCCACACUGGAACUGAGACACGGUCCAGACUCCUACGGGAGGCAGCAGUGGGGAAUAUUGCACAAUGGGCGCAAGCCUGAUGCAGCCAUGCCGCGUGUAUGAAGAAGGCCUUCGGGUUGUAAAGUACUUUCAGCGGGGAGGAAGGGAGUAAAGUUAAUACCUUUGCUCAUUGACGUUACCCGCAGAAGAAGCACCGGCUAACUCCGUGCCAGCAGCCGCGGUAAUACGGAGGGUGCAAGCGUUAAUCGGAAUUACUGGGCGUAAAGCGCACGCAGGCGGUUUGUUAAGUCAGAUGUGAAAUCCCCGGGCUCAACCUGGGAACUGCAUCUGAUACUGGCAAGCUUGAGUCUCGUAGAGGGGGGUAGAAUUCCAGGUGUAGCGGUGAAAUGCGUAGAGAUCUGGAGGAAUACCGGUGGCGAAGGCGGCCCCCUGGACGAAGACUGACGCUCAGGUGCGAAAGCGUGGGGAGCAAACAGGAUUAGAUACCCUGGUAGUCCACGCCGUAAACGAUGUCGACUUGGAGGUUGUGCCCUUGAGGCGUGGCUUCCGGAGCUAACGCGUUAAGUCGACCGCCUGGGGAGUACGGCCGCAAGGUUAAAACUCAAAUGAAUUGACGGGGGCCCGCACAAGCGGUGGAGCAUGUGGUUUAAUUCGAUGCAACGCGAAGAACCUUACCUGGUCUUGACAUCCACGGAAGUUUUCAGAGAUGAGAAUGUGCCUUCGGGAACCGUGAGACAGGUGCUGCAUGGCUGUCGUCAGCUCGUGUUGUGAAAUGUUGGGUUAAGUCCCGCAACGAGCGCAACCCUUAUCCUUUGUUGCCAGCGGUCCGGCCGGGAACUCAAAGGAGACUGCCAGUGAUAAACUGGAGGAAGGUGGGGAUGACGUCAAGUCAUCAUGGCCCUUACGACCAGGGCUACACACGUGCUACAAUGGCGCAUACAAAGAGAAGCGACCUCGCGAGAGCAAGCGGACCUCAUAAAGUGCGUCGUAGUCCGGAUUGGAGUCUGCAACUCGACUCCAUGAAGUCGGAAUCGCUAGUAAUCGUGGAUCAGAAUGCCACGGUGAAUACGUUCCCGGGCCUUGUACUCACCGCCCGUCACACCAUGGGAGUGGGUUGCAAAAGAAGUAGGUAGCUUAACCUUCGGGAGGGCGCUUACCACUUUGUGAUUCAUGACUGGGGUGAAGUCGUAACAAGGUAACCGUAGGGGAA
rnacentral:rRNA from 1 species